rnacentral:rRNA from 1 species
UACGUAGGGUGCAAGCGUUAAUCGGAAUUACUGGGCGUAAAGCGUGCGCAGGCGGUGAUGUAAGACAGAUGUGAAAUCCCCGGGCUCAACCUGGGAACUACAUUUGUGACUGCAUCGCUGGAGUGCGGCAGAGGGGGAUGGAAUUCCGCGUGUAGCAGUGAAAAUGCGUAGAUAUGCGGAGGAACACGAUGGCGAAGGCAAUCCC